CUCGAUAAUCCACGUAUACCUUACCUCUUCUAGAUUAUUCAGCUUGUGUACUGCCGUCGUAAGCAAACCUCUAAAAGUAGAAGUAUGCAAGUAUGUUUACUCAUCUACGUCAGGUCAAAGUGCAGCUUAUGAAGAGGUGAUGAUGGGUUACACCCUAAACAAAGACACGGAAUAUUGUGCUAACAACUAUAUAAAGGUGGACUUGGACGUAAUAGUGAUUCAAAAUUAUAAUGAAAACGAAUCUAAGACAUGUACACAUCGCCCGUCACUCCUGCCCAAAGGCAAGAUAAGUCGUAACAAAGUAGGUGUAACGGAAGUUGCACCUGU
rnacentral:rRNA from 1 species